ACCAGCUAUAACCGAAUCCGAAGAAGGGACUCUUUCCUCAAAUAACGUAUCUCUUUAUCACUUCAGCUGGAUAUGGGAUUCAGUUUCUGUUGGAUUUGCGGUUUCAGGGCAUUAAGAUGGCCAUGAAUUAAUGAAGAACACAGAGGUAAUUAAAAGUGGUAGCGACGGGCUCCUCUGGGCUUUUUUUUCGAGGGACUGCAGGUUGCUACGUGUGCUACGGGC